rnacentral:rRNA from 1 species
GACGAACGCUGGCGGCGUGCUUAACACAUGCAAGUCGAACGGAAAGGCCCUGCUUUUGUGGGGUGCUCGAGUGGCGAACGGGCGAGUAACACGUGAGUAACCUGCCCUUGACUUUGGGAUAACUUCAGGAAACUGGGGCUAAUACCGGAUAGGAGCUCUUGCUGCAUGGGGGGGGUUGGAAAGUUUCGGCGGUUGGGGAUGGACUCGCGGCUUAUCAGCUUGUUGGUGGGGUAGUGGCUUACCAAGGCUUUGACGGGUAGCCGGCCUGAGAGGGUGACCGGCCACAUUGGGACUGAGAUACGGCCCAGACUCCUACGGGAGGCAGCAGUGGGGAAUAUUGCACAAUGGGCGGAAGCCUGAUGCAGCAACGCCGCGUGCGGGAUGACGGCCUUCGGGUUGUAAACCGCUUUCGCCUGUGACGAAGCGUGAGUGACGGUAAUGGGUAAAGAAGCACCGGCUAACUACGUG